UUCAAUUUCUUACUUGUUUCCCACCUUUUGGAUCCUUUUAUAGCUUUAAGAAAUAGAGAAAAAUAUUCUAGACUGAAAAAGAGCCGUUAGACCACAUUAAAUGAGCAUUAAAAGCACUUAAAACGGGUUAAAAACUAGCCGUUGCGGAAAAAUUCCGUCACAGGGGUCGACUCAUGGGUCGACUCAUGCCUGGGGGUCGACUCAUGGGUCGACCUCUGUGGAAGAAUACCAGAAAAUAGGGUUCUGUAAUUUUUGGCCUAAAAACUGCA
rnacentral:lncRNA from 1 species